GACGAACCGUGCGAACGUUGUUCGGAAUCACUGGGCUUAAAGGGCGCGUAGGCGGGCUGUCAAGUCUGGGGUGAAAUCCCGCGGCUCAACCGUGGAACUGCCUCAGAUACUGACGGCCUCGAGGGAGAUAGGGGCGAGCGGAACUAAUGGUGGAGCGGUGAAAUGCGUUGAUAUCAUUAGGAACUCCGGUGGCGAAGGCGGCUCGCUGGGUCUCUUCUGACGCUGAUGCGCGAAAGCCAGGGGAGCAAACGGG
rnacentral:rRNA from 1 species